CCUACGGGUGGCAGCAGUGAGGCAUAUUUGUCAAUGGGCGCGAGCCUGAACCAGCCAAUUAGCGUGAAGGAUGCCUUCCCUACGGGUUGUACACUUCUUUUAUCAAGGAAUAAAGUGCGGCACGUUUUCCUUUUUGUAUUUACUUUAUUAAUAAGUAUCGGCUAACUCCGUGCCAGCAGCCGCGUUAAUACGGAGGAUCCGAGCGUUAUCCGGAUUUAUUGGGGUUAAAGGGAGCGUAUAUGGGUUGUUAAGUCCGUUGUGAAAGUUAGAGGCUCAACCGUAAGAUUGCAAUUGAUACUGGCAGUCGUGAGUACAGUUGAGGUAGGCGGAAUUCGUGGUGUAGCGGUGAAAUGCUUAGAUAUCACGAAGAACUCCGAUUGCGAAGGCAGCUUACUAAACUGCCACUGACAUUGAUGCUCGAAAGUGUGGGUAUCAAACAGGAUUAGAUACCCUAGUAGUC
rnacentral:rRNA from 1 species